UACGUAGGGCGCAAGCGUUGUCCGGAAUUAUUGGGCGUAAAGAGCUCGUAGGCGGCUUGUCGCGUCGGAUGUGAAAGCCCGGGGCUUAACUCCGGGUCUGCAUUCGAUACGGGCAGGCUAGAGUUCGGUAGGGGAGAUCGGAAUUCCUGGUGUAGCGGUGAAAUGGGCAGAUAUCAGGAGGAACACCGGUGGCGAAGGCGGAUCUCUGGGCCGAUACUGACGCUGAGGAGCGAAAGCGUGGGGAGCGAACAGG
rnacentral:rRNA from 1 species